rnacentral:lncRNA from 1 species
AUUCGCUCUGCCUCCAUGGUCUCCACGGUCUGAGCCGCCAGCAUCGAGGGGGAGGGUCGGAGGGACACGAGCGGAUCCGAGGCGGCCUCCAUGGUCUGCGCCGCCACCAUCCGCUCUGCCGCCCUUCGCUCCACUUCGAAGAGCUGGAGCUUGAAGCGCUGAGCCUUUACCUGUGCGCGGACCAAACCAUAGGAUUUGUUCAUGCACGGGAGAGGAAUCAAGAUCUGCGCCUCCUAGACAUCGCGGAUUGUGUCCGCAAGGCCGUGGAGUUUACGGUCCACUGGGGCGCAGCAGUGGCUCUCGCCAUUGCGCACCUAAACUUUGGUGGUAACCUCCAUGAUGCCAUUGGUCUCCCUUAUGGAUCGACGACAGCGGACUUAGACCUUCUAAAUGCACACACGUCACACGACAUGAGUUGGAGAGUAUUAUGGGUAAUUUGGGUACUAAAAUUAAUACAUGAACUACUAGAAUUAAAUUUGGGUAUCUAGAGUUACUAUGUGAAAUUAUUACUCUAUCCUCAUUGAUACGACAACAGCUAUACAUGUCAUGUCACUACUCUCUACGUA